rnacentral:rRNA from 1 species
UCAGGCUUUGCUUGGUGGUGAGAGUGGCGAACGGGUGAGUAAUGCGUGACCGACCUGCCCCAUACACCGGAAUAGCUCCUGGAAACGGGUGGUAAUGCCGGAUGCUCCGACUCCUCGCAUGGGGUGUCGGGAAAGAUUUCAUCGGUAUGGGAUGGGGUCGCGUCCUAUCAGGUAGUCGGCGGGGUAACGGCCCACCGAGCCUACGACGGGUAGCCGGCCUGAGAGGGCGACCGGCCACAUUGGGACUGAGAUACGGCCCAGACUCCUACGGGAGGCAGCAGUGGGGAAUAUUGCACAAUGGGCGCAAGCCUGAUGCAGCGACGCCGCGUGCGGGAUGACGGCCUUCGGGUUGUAAACCGCUUUUGAUCGGGAGCAAGCCUUCGGGUGAGUGUACCUUUCGAAUAAGCACCGGCUAACUACGUGCCAGCAGCCGCGGUAAUACGUAGGGUGCAAGCGUUAUCCGGAAUUAUUGGGCGUAAAGGGCUCGUAGGCGGUUCGUCGCGUCCGGUGUGAAAGUCCAUCGCUUAACGGUGGAUCUGCGCCGGGUACGGGCGGGCUGGAGUGCGGUAGGGGAGACUGGAAUUCCCGGUGUAACGGUGGAAUGUGUAGAUAUCGGGAAGAACACCAAUGGCGAAGGCAGGUCUCUGGGCCGUUACUGACGCUGAGGAGCGAAAGCGUGGGGAGCGAACAGGAUUAGAUACCCUGGUAGUCCACGCCGUAAACGGUGGAUGCUGGAUGUGGGGCCCGUUCCACGGGUUCCGUGUCGGAGCUAACGCGUUAAGCAUCCCGCCUGGGGAGUACGGCCGCAAGGCUAAAACUCAAAGAAAUUGACGGGGGCCCGCACAAGCGGCGGAGCAUGCGGAUUAAUUCGAUGCAACGCGAAGAACCUUACCUGGGCUUGACAUGUUCCCGACAGCCGUAGAGAUAUGGCCUCCCUUCGGGGCGGGUUCACAGGUGGUGCAUGGUCGUCGUCAGCUCGUGUCGUGAGAUGUUGGGUUAAGUCCCGCAACGAGCGCAACCCUCGCCCUGUGUUGCCAGCACGUCAUGGUGGGAACUCACGGGGGACCGCCGGGGUCAACUCGGAGGAAGGUGGGGAUGACGUCAGAUCAUCAUGCCCCUUACGUCCAGGGCUUCACGCAUGCUACAAUGGCCGGUACAACGGGAUGCGACACGGCGACGUGGAGCGGAUCCCUGAAAACCGGUCUCAGUUCGGAUUGGAGUCUGCAACCCGACUCCAUGAAGGCGGAGUCGCUAGUAAUCGCGGAUCAGCAACGCCGCGGUGAAUGCGUUCCCGGGCCUUGUACACACCGCCCGUCAAGUCAUGAAAGUGGGUAGCACCCGAA